UUCUGUAGAUAUAGAUCUGGCCAUUUGAUGUGAAUUCUCUAUACCAUAUGGAAGAUCUGAUGUAGGGUUUAAGUACUUUCCCCCGGCUGGAAGCAGGUAGAGUACUUUUCCCUCCUCAGUACUAUCCAUUCUGAAGGAAGAAGAUUGGGAGAUUGCCCACUCUACCUCUUCUGAUGAGCAUUGACGUCUAGUUCCCUGGAGGGGGAUUUUCCAUAUUAAAGGUCCUUCUAUAAAUUCUUGUCUAGCUGCCCUUUUUGCCUCUAGGUCAGCUCAGUGACUGCCCUCUGCUUCCUUCUCCUCUCAUUUUUGGAGACCUUGGACAGCUUGUAAUGUCUAAAAUUUCCUUGUAACAUUUAAUGGGAGUUCCUGCUGAGGUUAGAAACUCUCUUUCCUUCCUUAAUGCAGCAUGACCAUGCAGAACCAGGUUUUGGGGUACAUGUGAAGAACAUGCAAGACAGUUGCAUAGGUACACACGUGGCAGUGUGAUUUGCUGCCUUCCUCCCCUUCACCUAUAUCUGGCAUUUCUCCCCAUGCUAUCUCUCCCCAACUCCCUACCCCUCACUGUCCCUCCCCUAUUCCCCACAACAGACCCCAGUGUGUAGUGCUCCUCUCCCUGUGUCCAUGUGUUC
rnacentral:lncRNA from 1 species